rnacentral:lncRNA from 1 species
UUCUGACAUUAAAGCAACAACAAAUUUGAAAGGGUGUUGCAAGAAUGUAUAUUAAAUGCUGUCGUAUUACGUGCUUUCUUGCUCGAGAACGCACCAAGUGUCUGGCUGUAGGAGGUAGUAUGGAGAUUCGCCAAUAGUCAAGCAGUCUAUCAGUUUUUGACUGUUGGAAUAUAAACGACUGGAAGAAUACACCGUAAAUCUAUAUGGAUGUCCUUCGACUGCUCACCAAAGUCCUUUUUGUCCCAGUCGGUAGGUCUCUAGACGUUACAGAGAACCCCGAACAACCCAAUGUGCUAAUCUCUGAUACUGCUUUAUACUCACAAUCUUGUAUCCACUGACUGUCUCGUUAAAUUAACCCAAUAAAUUUCAUUCACUCCGCAUACUCAA